GUCCUUGGUGAGUCGGAUGUC
rnacentral:miRNA from 1 species